UACGGAGGGUGCAAGCGUUUAUCCGGAUUCACUGGGUUUAAAGGGUGCGUAGGCGGGCAGGUAAGUCCGUGGUGAAAUCUCUGAGCUUAACUCAGAAACUGCCAUGGAUACUAUUUGUCUUGAAUGUUGUGGAGGUAAGCGGAAUAUGUCAUGUAGCGGUGAAAUGCUUAGAUAUGACAUAGAACACCCAUUGCGAAGGCAGCUUACUACACAAAUAUUGACGCUGAGGCACGAAAAGCGUGGGGGAUCAAAACAGG
rnacentral:rRNA from 1 species